UACGGAGGAUGCGAGCGUUAUCCGGAUUUAUUGGGUUUAAAGGGUGCGUAGGCGGGAUGCCAAGUCAGCGGUAAAAAUGCGGGGCUCAACGCCGUCGAGCCGUUGAAACUGGCGUUCUUGAGUGGGCGAGAAGUAUGCGGAAUGCGUGGUGUAGCGGUGAAAUGCUUAGAUAUCACGAAGAACCCCGAUUGCGAAGGCAGCCUGCCGCAGCGUUACUGACGCUGAAGCUCGAAAGCGCGGGUAUCGAACAGG
rnacentral:rRNA from 1 species